AGUUGAAGCAUUGAUUAAUUGUUCUAAAUCUUGCUGUUGGAGGCUUGAAGCAUGAUUAAUUGUUGAAGCAAUGAUUAGUUGUUGGGUGCUAAUUGCUAAACCUUGCUGUUGAAUAAUUUUGAUUAAUGGUUAUAUAAUUGAUUAAUAAUUGCUGCCACACCUUUACAACCCAGCAUUCCUAGCCACUUCACUCCAACAACCUUGUCCAUUGUUCAUCAUGUACUUCAUGAGCUUCUCAUCUUCUUCUGGUGACCAUAAUCCCUUCCUUAGCUUAUUCUUACUAUUGUUGUUCUUGUCCUCAUCAUUGUCUUUGCCACAUACCCGAGACUUCCUCAUCAGUAUUAAUUAUUGAUCAAUCAAAUUAAAUGUUAGUAUUCCUCCCCACUCCCUUACUCAUGAAAUAAUUUUUCUUACUUUCCAUAGUCCAAUUUCGUUUCAUAUUUUUUUACUAAAUGCGGUAAGAUGUAUACUAACAUAUUUCUUAAAAUGUAUGUUUGGAUAAGUAAGGGAUUAAUUUAUAUAUAGAGGUAUUAGAAAGAAACUUGAUUUGGAGGCAAUUAAUUAAUAAUGACGAGCGAUGAUGUAUUACAUGAUGAUAAUAAUGAUGGUGGUGGGUUUGCUUACAAUACAGGGAAUGAAGAGUAGUAAGAUCAAAGUGGAUUGGUUGCUGAGUCUAGUGCUAAUAAUAAACGGUUUUGAGAAGGACCUCAGAGAUAAUAGAUACUUUCAUCUCUUUUUUUUUUUAUCACAAGUUAUAUGUUAUUGCUGGUAGAGUAGGAGUAGUCGUGAAUAAUUGUUUGCCUGUUUCAACUGAACUAAGUUACUGAUUCAGAAAUGUGAACUUUGUGUUGUUAUUGGAUUGGAUUGUAUUGUUAUUGGAUUGUUAUUGUUAUUGCCUGUUUGCCUGUUUCAAUUGAAUAAUUGGAUUGGAUUGUAUUGUUAUUGUUAACCUUGCUUUAGUUCUCAAGUUGCUUGCUGCUUCAAUUUAAAGGGAUUGUGAAUUUUGGUUUAAGCUGUGAUUGAAGUUUCCUUCGUUUGGGUGUUCUUCACUUUCCCAGUGAAGCUUAGCCUUUUGAUUCUUUGAGCAUACACGUUCAUGUUAUUGUUCUCAGCAAUGCUGAUUCUUAGAUAUUUCUUUCUUUGUUGCUUUGUUUUAAAUGUUCCUACAGGUGUUGUGUUGUUGCUGUGUUUUAAAUGUUUCUUUGAUUCUAUGUUGUGUGGUUGCUGUGUUGUCUUUCUUUUUCUUGAAUGUUUGUAUUGAUUUGCUCUCCGAGGACCUGCACCGACUUGCAUUCUUGCAAGCUUUCCAUGUUAAACUGUUUUUGCAUACAAAAUGAAUGUGGUUUGAUAAUUUCUAAUUGAUAUAACUUAUUGUGGGAUGAGCUAGAGAUUACUUUGAAGGUGUUGGGAAGGAAAGGAGGUUAUUGAGCAAUUGGAGAGUUGACAGUGCUAGCCUUUUUUUUCUAUUAAUCAUUGUGCUGAACUUGUUAAAAUUGGUUUGAAAACACUGUUAAUUUAUAUUGUUAAAAUUAUGUUUGAAAAUUUUGUUAAUCUUAGUUAAAUAUAGUUGCUUUUUGUUAAUCUUGGUGUGUUUAUUUCUAUUUUAUUUAUUAUUUUAUUAUAAAACGGUUAUUUCGGUUGAACCACGGUUGAACCGGUAAACCAGUGAACCAGUCACUAGAACGGCUCGAUGACCAGUUCGGUUUUCAGAACCUUGAUUUACACUCUUCAGUCUUCCUUCAGUGUCACUGCCAGCCACUGUUUUUGCGCCGUCCGUCGCCCGCUUCUACUCUGUCGCGUCGGACGUCGUCACUGUUAGCCAGUGCUGUGCUCCGUCGUCUGACUCGCCUCUGCUUUGCCCCGUCGUGCGUCACCUCUGCUCCUUUCAUGCCUGCCUCUCCUUCACGUUUCUGCCAUUCCUUUUCCUUUUUUUCCUCCGUGUGUGUCUCUCUCCCUGGCCACUGUCUCCCGGUCUGCCGCUUAACGCCGUCAGCCACUGCCUUGCACUGUACUGCUCCUUCGCCACUGCUUGCUUUACUCUGCUCAUGUCAGUGACUCCGGGCUCUCUGCUCAUUAGUGUAUGAUAAUUUAAACCACUUGUUACGUAUUAGAUUGAAUUGUUGAAUCUUAAAACUACAUAAUAUAAUUGUUGGUGUUAAGUUAAUUGUUGGUCAAAUUAUUAAUUGCUCAUGAAUUUAUAUAUGUUAUGUGGAUGAAUGUUAAAUUUGGAUGCUAACUCUUCCAAUUUUUAGUUGAAAUUGGCCGUAGCUUGUAGCAGUGAAUAAUAAACUAUGCGAGUUAACCCGGUGAGUCUAGUCUAGCAGAGCUCUACUAUUUUAACUGGACUUGCCUGUUUGACAACCAUUGUAGUAUUGAUUUAUAGAUGGGUAUACAUUUCAAGUUUCAAAGCCUUUAAGAAGACAAUAUGCUCACUCCAUGUGCAAACAGUAGGCUGAAGCGUAAGAUGCUUGAUACACAAACCCAAUGCAGUGAAGAGAAAGAAGAGCUUAGAGAACUUGAUAGUAAAAUUGGAAAGGUUGAUAGGGUGCUUGGUUCAACACAGGAUCCUAAUGUUAGGUCGCGUGCCAUAUUUAUAUUGGAAAAUGCUUCGCUGAAGAAAGGACUCGUUAAAAAUGAGUGGAAAAUCCUCAAUUCGCAUGAUGAUGCCAAUCUUCUGUUGAAGCAAAAUAAGAGUCUUAAUGAUUAUCGACCAGACAUUGUUUUUGAGGCACUCCGUAGUAUUAUUGAUAGUCCACUUAAUAAAUAUGGUUUGGUGGAAGCUAUAUUUGUGAAAAUUGAUGGAGGAGCCCUAUUUGAAAUAAAGCCACAUGCAUGUUCGCAUUCCUCGAACUUGUAAACGUUUCUGUGGUCUCAUAGUGGAUUUGCUUAGAAAGUCUCGUGUAUGUGCUGAAGAUACAAAUGAAGUACUUAUUCGUAUUGUUGAAGAGCCUGUGAUGCGCCAUUUACCGGUCAAUUUCUCAUAUAGUAGGCCUCUCUUAUAGCUCAAAGAAGGUGGUCCACAUGGAUGACUAUGUUUCUUCCCUAAGUGAUCAUAUGACGCCUGUUUUUGUGGUGGGUGCAAUGGUAAAUGGGAAAGUAAAAGAAGACCACACACAUGAUUAUAUUUCUGUUUCUGAUUAUCCACUUGGUGCUAAAUGCUGCGUAGGCCUUAUCUGUGAUGCCUUGGAGCAGAAAUGGAAGCUAUUCUGAAAUAAUGAGUUACAGAAAGAGUUCGGAGUAAAAUUAUAAAUCAGUCAAAAUGCUAAUUUUACCUUUGUUAUUUUAUGUAAAGAGUGUGAUCACUCGUCUCUAACAACUCGAGUUACAGAUGGGUAGCAAUUUUUUAUUUUUUAUUUUUUGUAUAUUUACACGCUCUGGAUGCAUUAGUACUCUUA